CCUAAAGGGACCAGAAUAUGCGAGGUCCGUUCGCCUUGUUUACAGAGAUUGGUUUGACCUGAAGAGGAAGCUUUAGCUCGGGAGCACCUAUGUAUAUGCAUGGGGAAAGGAUUCUUCAGAAAGUGCAAAUAAUCAAGUAUCACCAGUAAAAUCUGGCUCCCCGAGCGACGUAGCCUGCUCCACUAUUCAAGUACUGGUGUUUAAUGCCUACAUUAUGCCUGCACUGAUUAAAUUUAUUGUAAUUAUGC